UUCCCUCUCUGGGAUCUGCUGGGAUAAGAGCUUUGCUUUCAUUUUGGUGAAGAGGCUCUUGCAGCUUAUCUCAGCUUGUUUUCAGCAGGUGCUUUUGGGCAUGUGGAGCAACAGAGGCUUUGAAGGAGGAGCGCAACUUCCAGAAAUUCCAGUUUGUGUCAAGUACAACCCUUUUUUCAGCAGAUUCAUCAUGUCACAAAAGGCAUCUGCAUUGUGUCAAAGAUGAUGUUUGAGACUGAGACUUCAGAUGAGUUGAGGAUUGUGACUAGGAGAGGGAAGGUGCUACUCAUAAUAACAGCCACAGCCUUGGACUCAGGAUGAAGCUGGAGACUCAAGGACCCUGGCAUGCUCAGGAGAAG